UACGAAGGGGGCUAGCGUUGUUCGGAAUUACUGGGCGUAAAGCGCGCGCAGGCGGUCUUCCAAGUCAGUGGUGAAAGCCCGGAGCUCAACUCCGGAACUGCCAUUGAAACUGUGAGACUUGAGGAUGAGAGAGGUGAGUGGAAUUCCCAGUGUAGAGGUGAAAUUCGUAGAUAUUGGGAAGAACACCGGUGGCGAAGGCGGCUCACUGGCUCAUUUCUGACGCUCAGGCGCGACAGCGUGGGAGCGAACAGG
rnacentral:rRNA from 1 species